rnacentral:rRNA from 1 species
AUUGAACGCUGGCGGCAUGCCUUACACAUGCAAGUCGAACGGCAGCACGGGGGCAACCCUGGUGGCGAGUGGCGGACGGGUGAGUAAUGCAUCGGAACGUGCCCUGAAGUGGGGGAUAACGCAGCGAAAGCUACGCUAAUACCGCAUAUUCUGUGAGCAGGAAAGCAGGGGAUCGCAAGACCUUGCGCUUUGGGAGCGGCCGAUGUCGGAUUAGCUAGUUGGUGGGUAAAGGCCUACCAAGGCGACGAUCCGUAGCGGGUCUGAGAGGAUGAUCCGCCACACUGGGACUGAGACACGGCCCAGACU